UGCAAGUCGAACGGGGGCAGCGAUGCCCUAGUGGCGGACGGGUGAGGAACGCGUAGGAAUCGGCCCACGAGUGGGGGACAACCUGGGGAAACUCAGGCUAAUACCGCAUGAGCUCGGGAGAGGAAAGCGGGGGAUCUUCGGACCUCGCGCUGGUGGACGAGCCUACGUCCGAUUAGCUGGUUGGUGGGGUAACGGCCCACCAAGGCGACGAUCGGUAGCGGGUCUGAGAGGACGACCCGCCACACUGGGACUGAGACACGGCCCAGACUCCUACGGGAGGCAGCAGUGGGGAAUAUUGGACAAUGGGCGCAAGCCUGAUCCAGCAAUGCCGCGUGGGUGAAGACGGCCUGCGGGUUGUAAAGCCCUUUAGGCGGGGAGGAACGACCGGGUGCCAACACCAUCUGGAAGUGACGUUACCCGCGGAAUAAGCACCGGCUAACUCCGUGCCAGCAGCCGCGGUAAUACGGAGGGUGCGAGCGUUAAUCGGAAUUACUGGGCGUAAAGCGUGCGUAGGCGGAUGGGUCAGUCAGCCGUGAAAGCCCCGGGCUCAACCUGGGAAC
rnacentral:rRNA from 1 species